rnacentral:rRNA from 1 species
CCUACGGGGGGCAGCAGUGGGGAAUAUUGGACAAUGGGGGCAACCCUGAUCCAGCCAUGCCGGGUGUGUGAAGAAGGCCCUCGGGUUGUAAAGCACUUUCAGUGAGGAAGAACGCCUGGUGGUUAAUACCCAUCAGGAAAGACAUCACUCACAGAAGAAGCACCGGCUAACUCCGUGCCAGCAGCCGCGGUAAUACGGAGGGUGCGAGCGUUAAUCGGAAUUACUGGGCGUAAAGCGCGCGUAGGUGGCUUGAUAAGCCGGUUGUGAAAGCCCCGGGCUCAACCUGGGAACGGCAUCCGGAACUGUCAAGCUAGAGUGCAGGAGAGGAAGGUAGAAUUCCCGGUGUAGCGGUGAAAUGCGUAGAGAUCGGGAGGAAUACCAGUGGCGAAGGCGGCCUUCUGGACUGACACUGACACUGAGGUGCGAAAGCGUGGGUAGCAAACAGGAUUAGAUACCCUAGUAGUC